AGUAGCGGACUUUGCCUACUGUCACGGACUUAUUUUCCCCUCACUAAGUCACGUGCGGCCUUAGCUAUUUUUCCCCUCUAAAUAGCCAAGUCAGCCUCUCUUUCGACCCUCGAAAGUAU